UACGAAGGGGGCUAGCGUUGUUCGGAAUUACUGGGCGUAAAGGGCGCGUAGGUGGUUAUGUGCGUUAGAUGUGAAAUCCCCGGGCUUAACCUGGGAAUGGCAUUUAAUACUGCAUAUCUAAGAGUGCGAGAGGGGAAAGCGGAAUGGCGAGUGGAGCAGUGAAAUGCAUUGAGAUUCGCUAGAACACCAGAGGCGAAGGCGGCUUUCUGGCUCGUUACUGACACUAAAGCGCGAAAGCGUGGGGAGCAAACAGG
rnacentral:rRNA from 1 species